GGUCUGGUGGUGUAGUUGGUUAUCACGUCAGUCUAACAGCUCGAAACCACUCGACUGAGAACACUGAAGGUCUCCGGUUCAAGUCCGGGCUAGAUCA
rnacentral:tRNA from 1 species